UACAAUUAUUUCCUUUCUUUUUAGGGCUGCAGCAGAGCCUCUUUGAUGUUUCCUGUAUUUUUGACAGCUUUGGAGCUAGACAGGUAUUCAAACACUCUGCCUUAGCAAAUAUUUUUAAUGGCAAAUUCAGAAGGACUGAUGAAUCACGAAAGACUCUUUUCUUCCUUGAAAUGCAUACAAUUAUCCAAUCAUUAAUUGAGGCAGAUAAGCAUUUGUGGUGUGCAAAGCAGCAGAUAUGAGGUGGUUAUAUUUGAAAGGUACCUGCAGGAGGUUUGUUCAGUUUUUUCUCCAGUUCAGUUUGUUUACACAACGCUUAAGCGAGUUCACUGUUUUCCCUGUCUCUAGUCAGAGUUUUUGUCCUGAAGUUUCUGCCUAUCUCAAUAACGAAAGAAAACUAAUGAAUCAGUCUCUUGCCUUACUUAAAGCUCAAUUGUACCCUGCUUUGGCUUUUUACCUUCCCUGAGCUGCCAAGAAAUACUGCUGUGAGGCAGGGAGAGACCCUUUUGGUUCAGAAGGUACUCAAGGCCCUGUGGUGCUUCUUGAGCUCAAAAGGAGUGCUGGAGAAGGCUUGAUGUCAGGUACUACUGAGGGUCCUAAAUGAUCCCUGCUGUAAUCAGGACUGGAGCGACCAGAGCACAGAAAGUGCAAAGGGGAUGUUAAGCUAUAGAGGCUCCCUCUUCCCCAUCUUGACUUUAUCCUAGACAACUACUACUAGAGCUUUGGGCCUUUAUUUUGCAGACACAAAAUACUGACAGAGGUGUGACUCUGGCACCAUUCCUGCCUCCUUUUCCAGAAGUAUUUCAAUGCCGUGGGACAGUAACUUAUCACGGGCAGAUGCAUAAGAUGUUGUUGUCUGAGGUUGCUAGUCCUGGGUAUCAUUCACAGGUUCAGUGCCCGCUCUAAGGCAGUCAGUCUUCGAUCUGCUGAAAUCACCCCUCAAACUUCACACUGGGUGCUCUCUGCAUGUGUCUGUUGGAUCCAUAGGGAUGUGAAUGGAGCAGCAGAGACUGGCUAGGACAUCCCAAGAUCAAGGAAUUCAGGUGUGGUAGCUUAAACUGGAGUGCUUAGGAAGUUUGUUCAACCAAGUUUGGAUGCUGGUAGAUGUCAGUGCUUCCAACAGCAGGUGGUGAUGGAGCUUGGGCUUUCUAGAUCUCUUUCUUGGGCUUAGGCCCAGUUUAUGUCCGAAACAAUGCUCCCUGAAUCUCUUUCCAAAAUGCUUAGUAAUUGAAUACAGAUGUUUGGUGGACACAAGUGACCAGCACACCUUGACACUGAACUUUUCUUUAAACUUCUGAAGCCAGCCACUAAUUUGUCUUUAUUCCCAAGAACAAUAGUAAGUAUAACCACAAACAGUGCAAACUAGUUAACAGCUUACUGCGGUGGGUAAACCAUAACGUGACUGACAGAGGUGGGGUGGGGGUUGUGUUGUGUGUCUUCACAAUUAUUUUGAGAAUUGCUUAACAUUCUCCUUGAGAAAUUCCUUCAUUUCCACUUAGCAUGCCAAGAUAUAUCUGCAAGUCUUUAAAGAAUUUCAGCUGAUGAUUUUCCUCCCUUCCUGGAAUCAGACUUGGCGUUUACUUAUUGGAUCAGUCCUGUAGCUGGAGCCUGCUUCAAAGUCCGUGGAGUUGAUAAGACUGUCAUUUACUUCAACUGAGUUGGAUUCAGGACUCCAGCUUAUACCCUUGCUUACGAACAACAGAAUACCUGGUUCUGCUGGUCUUGAAGACUUGCAUUCACGUUAACUCACAUGGGAGCGAGAUCAGACCCUGAUUCAGAAAAGGACUUAAAAGACGUGCUUACCAUUUAUGUAAGCCAAUCCAUCCCUGUAUCUCCACUAAGUACAUAGAGUUGUUCCACCGCUUUAAAAGUUCAACAUGGUCUCUUAAGCGCUUUGUUGAAUCAGGGUUUUAAUGACUUUGAAGCAAAGGGGAGUAGCAGUGGGUAAAAAGAGGAGAUUCGCUUUUUGGUUGCAUGCAAGCACUGCCAUUAGCUCUCAGACAUCGAUGGAUCCCACAUGCUUCAGAAAUCACUCUGUUGACCUGGAGUGAAGGCGCUUUGAGCACAGAACCUACCCAGCCAUGAUCAACCUGCUUAUUUUUCAUCACUGUUGAUGAGCUGAAGAUGGCUCAAAUACCCUGACCGCACCAUCGCCUGGUGAUUGGGGAAAUGGGAGAGUUACCCAGUGACCACAGGACGCAGAUUGUGCAUCACCAGAAAAUGCGCAAACGUCUGUCUGCCUUCCCUUGUUCCAGCAGCAAUGAGUGAUCACAGGAGCACAGCCAAGCCGAUGCGGCCACGCAAGGGGUGGUUGUGACAGUAAUUGAAGAAAGUGCCGAAUCAGCCAGAAGAACAAGGGUUCACAGCAAAAGCUUGAGCCAGGCGGACACGUGUCUUGGAAAUACGAAGUAAAAGACAACCGCGAAUGAUGAUGGAGACUUGAUCAAGAGAUGCCAGUUGGUUGGGAGGCACCUACCUACCCAUUGGGAAGGCCUCUUCAGCAGGACAGCAGGUUGCCAACCCUUUGGUGUUGUAAGGGACAGAUUUUUCUAAAGGACUUCCUUGGCCUUUGGAUGCAGAGAUACUGAGUGGUGCCUCCAAAAGUCUUGAAGCGUAAGAAUGAAUGUAGUCAUGGCCACUUAUGCUGUGCUGAACUCUAAACUGGGGGCUGGGUUAUACCAUACCUGGCCCUUCUGGGGACACUUUGGCUUGUGCAAAUCGUGGUGGUGUUUAGACUAGAAAGACGCCUCCAGCCUAGGCCAGUUCUGGGCACGUUUGUGAUAAAGAAAUGAGGGGGCCUAAGGACUGCAGAGAGUUUUUUGGGCCAAACUAGCUAAAUUCUGGGCAAGUCCCACUUGCAAGUGCUAAGGUCUUUCUGUUGAUCUCACCCAGUCUAGUUAGGCUGUUUCUGGUGUAUUCAGGAACACAAAACCAGCACCUCUGUCCCAUUGUUUGCCAGGAGAAGCAGACACCCAACCUGCUUGGACACUGCUGAGAAGAGCCCUUGGCACAAAAGGAAAGUUGCCUUAGGAAACUGGCUGAAAUGGUUCAUAGGAAUUUUAACCUUUCGGACAGAGAAAUUUGAUCUGCAGUGGCCUGAAUAUCCAAGGCCGUAUGAUCAAAGCCAGAGAGAAUGCUGUAACAAGGCUUGAACAGCUUCCUUCGGAGUUUGGUGGUAUUUGACAUCCAACCAGACCGAGUCAGUAACGGGUUGAGAAGGUAACCAAAUGGGGAGAAAGCACGUGCCACAGACAGGGCUUCCCACUGCAUGGGCACAGCACAUACAAAAUCCUUUUUUGCCAAAUCCACCGCAAGAAGGGGAGAUUCCCCAAGCAGCCGUUAGACCCGUCUUGCAUUAAUGACGUGGAUGACACCAGAUUGCUACGACCCACCUUGCUGAAAUCUUCCUUUCGCUCUUGUAGCCCUGUGCAUCGCUUUAGCUUGUCAGAAGGGUCCUGUGCCUAUUGCUGGCAGUGUCCAAAGGCAACCUCCCAACUCAGGCUCGGGUAACUGCUCCUGAAGACAGUCAGCGGUAAGGAUCAGCCUUUCCCCACCCAUCCUGUUGGUUUAGGGAGCAGAAGCCUAAGAACAGCUGCACAGAUGCUGAGAGCCUGUCACAGCCCACAGCUGGAAGCAGUUUUCUUGCAGAGGCUGAGAGCAGCUUCCAAGCCCCAGGGUGGAAGGAGGAUACUGCAGGGAAGCGGGGAAAGUGGAGGAAGGGAGGGAGACAAGGGGCUGUAAUGAAGUGCACACAUGCGUAUGUGUGAAGGAAUGACCUGACACACGAGAUGUGUGCCAG